rnacentral:rRNA from 1 species
UACGUAGGGUCCAAGCGUUAUCCGGAAUCACUGGGCGUAAAGCGCACGUAGGCGGCUUUUUAAGUCAGGGGUGAAAUCCUGGAGCUCAACUCCAGAACUGCCUUUGAUACUGAGAAGCUUGAGUCUGGGAGAGGUGAGUGGAACUGCGAGUGUAGAGGUGAAAUUCGUAGAUAUUCGCAAGAACACCAGUGGCGAAGGCGGCUCACUGGCCCGGUACUGACGCUGAGGUGCGAAAGCGUGGGGAGCAAACAGG